CCUACGGGUGACAGCAGUGAGGAAUAUUGGUCAAUGGCCGGGAGGCUGAACCAGCCAAGUCGCGUGAGGGAAGACGGCCCUACGGGUUGUAACCCUCUUUUGUCAGGGAGCAAGGUGCAGGUCGGGACCUGCUGUGAGAGUACCUGAAGAAAAAGCAUCGGCUAACUCCGUGCCAGAGGCCGCGGUAAUACGGAGGAUGCGAGCGUUGUCCGGAUUUAUUGGGUUAAAGGGGUGGGCAGGCGGAGGGACAAGUCAGCGGUAAAAUCGCGGGGCCCAACCCCGCUCUGCCUUUGAAACUGUGUCCCAUGAGUGCGCGAAGGGCAGACGGAAUGCGUGGGGUAGCGGUGAAAUGCAUAGAUAUCA
rnacentral:rRNA from 1 species